GGGGUGGUGGCUCAGUUGGCUAGCGCGUAGGUCUCAUAAUCCUGAGGUCGAGAGUUCGAGCCUCUCUCACCCCA
rnacentral:tRNA from 1 species